CACUUUGUCUUAAUGGCAAAUGUGAGAUGCAGUGUAUGGAAUGUCAAAUUUCUAGUAUGAGAAAUUAACGAUUUAAGUCCUUCUUAAAUGAGGCCAUUUACCCAAAGAGGGUGCCAGGCCCGUAUAACGUUAAUGAUUACUAGAUGGCAUUUCCAAAGAGUCGUGUUGCUUGAUAGUGCAGCACUAAGUGGGUGGUAAACUCCAUCUAAAACUAAAUAUAACCAUGAGACCGAUAGUAAACAAGUACCGUGAGGGAAAGUUGAAAAGAACUCUGAAUAGAGAGUUAAAUAGUACGUGAAACUGCUUAGAGGUUAAGCCCGAUGAACCUGAAUAUCCGUUAUAGAAAAUUCAUCAUUAUGAUUUUAAUAUUUAUAAUAUUAUAAUAAUGGUGUGCAUUUUUUCUAUAAAAGGACAUUGUAAUCUAUUAACAUAAAUAUAUUUAUCAUAAGAUCAAGAGCGUAAGUUUAUUCAAAUUAUUUUGCUUGCAAUUUAACAUAGAAUAAAUGCUUUUGAUUUGAUAAAGUGUUGAUAGAUUUAUUAUAUAUAGUGCUUAAAUAUUUAUAUUUUAUAAUAGCAUAUUAAUCAUUGAUUUUUAUGUUUAUUAUAUGCACUUAUAUGAUUAACAAUGCGAAAGAUUCAGGAUACCUUCGGGACCCGUCUUGAAACACGGACCAAGGAGUCUAACAUAUUUGCAAGUUAUUGGGAAUAAAAACCUAAUAGCGAAAUUAACAUAACUUAAUAAUGGGAUUAGUUUUUAGCCUAUUUAUAGUCUAUUAAUACAAUCCCGGGGCGUUCUAUCAGUUAUGUAUAAUAAUAUUUAUAUUAUUUAUACCUCUAACUAGAGCGUACCUUGAGCAUAUAUGCUGUGACCCGAAAGAUGGUGAACUAUACUUGAUCAGGUUGAAGUCAGGGGAAACCCUGAUGGAAGACCGAAACAGUUCUGACGUGCAAAUCGAUUGUCAGAAU
rnacentral:rRNA from 1 species